ACUCAUCAAGUGGCACAAAAAUUACUACAAUAUAGCUUCUAAACAUAAUGAACAUGUUUUCAAUGAUCCACUAAUAUCCGAAAUUUAGGCAAUCUCACUAAGAAUAAUGCAUAUCUUCUAUUUUUUUGCCUCCUCCCUAACAACGCAUACUUGAUUUUCACAGGUUCACAACCUUUCCACUCAUCGGCAUCUGCAGCAUCUAAGUUCCUUUUCGUCACAUAUUCAUAAUUACUUGAGUUUGUUCUUACCUUGUUUGCAACAUUUACUUGAGUUAGGUAGAGAGAACGUAGUUGCAUAGUUUCCAAUAUGUCUAAACUCUUAAUUUAUAAUAUUAACGAUCAUUAUAAUUCAAUCUAUGUGGACAAACGUGAUAGCUUAUUUGACUUCUCUCUGUCAGUUUAAAUAAUAUGCUUGUUGUCAUGACCAUAAAUUGUUGUCCAUGUAUGCACUCCAUGAUAAUAUGAUUGAUAACAUGUUAACUUUCAACUUUAUGUACCCUUAUUAUUUACCCUUGGAAUAUAAUUUAAUAUGUUUAGAUGCAUCAUAUAUGUUAUUGUUUUUUCUUUUUCUUCUUCUAACUUUCUUAAUUUCUGCCAUUUUUGCAGAUUUGAUUCAUUUCAUGGAAGCUGGAAUUGAUGGACAAUUAGUGUUUAGUUUUUUUCAUUUGUAUUGGCGAACAAUGUAAAAUUUAUGUAUGUAUAUAUGGAUGAACUAUGUGAAACUUUGUAUUGUGCUAGCUUGUUAAAUAUUUCAUGAUGAUCUUGGAUAUAUAUAUGUUGUGAAAUAUAUGUGUUGAAGAUAUCUGAAA
rnacentral:lncRNA from 1 species